rnacentral:rRNA from 1 species
AGUGAACGCUGGCGGCGUGCCUAAUACAUGCAAGUCGAACGGAGUGGCGCACGGGUGAGUAAUAUAUAGCUAAUCUGCCCCUUGCUGGAGGACAACAGUUAGAAAUGACUGUUAAUACUCCAUAGCAAGGGAUGAGACUAUAUCGUAUCAGCUAGUCGGUGGGGUAACGGCCUACCGAGGCUAUGACGCGUAACUGGUCUGAGAGGAUGAUCAGUCAAAUUGGAACUGAGACACGGUGCGAACACCUACGGGAAGCGGCAGUAGGGGAUAUUGCGCAAAGGGGGGAACCCUGACGCAUCAUCGCCGCGUGGAGGAUGACACUUUUCGGAGCGUAAACUCCUUUUGUUAGGGAAGCGGUACCUGACGAAUAAGCACCGGCUAACUCCGUGCCAGCAGCCGCGGUAAUUC